rnacentral:misc_RNA from 1 species
GAUGAAGAACGCAGCGAGAUGCGAUAAGUAAUGUGAAUUGCAGAAUUCAGUGAAUCAUCGAAUCUUUGAACGCACCUUGCGCCCUUUGGCCAUUCCGAAGGGCAUGCCUGUUUGAGUAUCAUGAACACCUCAACUCUCAUGGCUUGCCAUGAUGAGCUUGGACUUUGGGGGUCUUGCUGGCCUGCGGCCAGCUCCUCUCAAAUGAAUUAGCUUUCCAGUGUUUGGUUGGCAUCACAGGUGUGAUAACUAUCUACGCUUGUGGUUUCCACCAGGUAACCUUCAGUAACAUGGGGGUUUGCUGGAGCUCAUAAAUGUCUCUCCUCAGUGGGGACAGCUCUUUGAACGUUUGAUCUCAAAUCAGGUAGGACUACCCGCUGAACUUAAGCAUAUCAAUAAGCGGAGGA